GUGGAUGGGAACUCUGCCUUUAGAUUCAAUCUCGUCUUGGACAAAUUUAUGUGGUAAAUUCCAUGCUCGUUUUGGGAGAAAUAAGAGGAGAGGAAAACUUACUGGUUUGUUGGCUCAAGUUAGACAAUAUUCGAAUGAGUCUUUGGGCCAGUAUGUGAAGCGACUCAGAGAAGCGGUCGACCAAGUAACUGAUCUCAAUGAUCUUCAAGCUAUCGAGCAAUUUCAGAAUGGUUUAGACUUGGUGAAAUCAGAGAAGCUGGUGAAGAAGCUGAUGUUCACCACCCAGAGAGUUUAGAUGAAGCCUUUGAUAAAGCAGAGGGGUAUAUUGUGG
rnacentral:lncRNA from 1 species